ACUAAGCGUACACGGUGGAUGCCCUGGCAGUCAGAGGCGAUGAAGGGCGUACUAAUCUGCGAUAAGCGCCGGUAAGGUGAUAUGAACCGUUAUAACCGGCGAUACCCGAAUGGGGAAACCCAGUGUGAUUCGUCACACUAUCAUUAACUGAAUCCAUAGGUUAAUGAGGCGAACCGGGGGAACUGAAACAUCUAAGUACCCCGAGGAAAAGAAAUCAACCGAGAUUCCCCCAGUAGCGGCGAGCGAACGGGGAGGAGCCCAGAGCCUGAAUCAGCAUGUGUGUUAGUGGAAGCGUCUGGAAAGGCGCGCGAUACAGGGUGACAGCCCCGUACACAAAAGCGCAUGUGCUGUGAGCUCGAUGAGUAGGGCGGGACACGUGGUAUCCUGUCUGAAUAUGGGGGGACCAUCCUCCAAGGCUAAAUACUCCUGACUGACCGAUAGUGAACCAGUACCGUGAGGGAAAGGCGAAAAGAACCCCGGCGAGGGGAGUGAAAAAGAACCUGAAACCGUGUACGUACAAGCAGUGGGAGCACAGGUUUACCUGUGUGACUGCGUACCUUUUGUAUAAUGGGUCAGCGACUUAUAUUCUGUAGCAAGGUUAACCGAAUAGGGGAGCCGGAGGGAAACCGAGUCUUAAUUGGGCGUUAAGUUGCAGGGUAUAGACCCGAAACCCGGUGAUCUAGCCAUGGGCAGGUUGAAGGUUGGGUAACACUAACUGGAGGACCGAACCGACUAAUGUUGAAAAAUUAGCGGAUGACCUGUGGCUGGGGGUGAAAGGCCAAUCAAACCGGGAGAUAGCUGGUUCUCCCCGAAAGCUAUUUAGGUAGCGCCUCGUGAAUUCAUCUCCGGGGGUAGAGCACUGUUUCGGCUAGGGGGCCAUCCCGGCUUACCAACCCGAUGCAAACUGCGAAUACCGGAGAAUGUUAUCACGGGAGACACACGGCGGGUGCUAACGUCCGUCGUGAAGAGGGAAACAACCCAGACCGCCAGCUAAGGUCCCAAAGUCAUGGUUAAGUGGGAAACGAUGUGGGAAGGCCCAGACAGCCAGGAUGUUGGCUUAGAAGCAGCCAUCAUUUAAAGAAAGCGUAAUAGCUCACUGGUCGAGUCGGCCUGCGCGGAAGAUGUAACGGGGCUAAACCAUGCACCGAAGCUGCGGCAGCGACGCUUAUGCGUUGUUGGGUAGGGGAGCGUUCUGUAAGCCUGCGAAGGUGGCCUGUGAGGGUUGCUGGAGGUAUCAGAAGUGCGAAUGCUGACAUAAGUAACGAUAAAGCGGGUGAAAAGCCCGCUCGCCGGAAGACCAAGGGUUCCUGUCCAACGUUAAUCGGGGCAGGGUGAGUCGACCCCUAAGGCGAGGCCGAAAGGCGUAGUCGAUGGGAAACGGGUUAAUAUUCCCGUACUUGGUGUUACUGCGAAGGGGGGACGGAGAAGGCUAUGUUGGCCGGGCGACGGUUGUCCCGGUUUAAGCGUGUAGGUGUGUGUUCCAGGUAAAUCCGGUUCACUUUAACACUGAGGCGUGACGACGAGGCACUACGGUGCUGAAGCAACAAAUGCCCUGCUUCCAGGAAAAGCCUCUAAGCAUCAGGUAACAUCAAAUCGUACCCCAAACCGACACAGGUGGUCAGGUAGAGAAUACCAAGGCGCUUGAGAGAACUCGGGUGAAGGAACUAGGCAAAAUGGUGCCGUAACUUCGGGAGAAGGCACGCUGACACGUAGGUGAAGUGAUUUACUCAUGGAGCUGAAGUCAGUCGAAGAUACCAGCUGGCUGCAACUGUUUAUUAAAAACACAGCACUGUGCAAACACGAAAGUGGACGUAUACGGUGUGACGCCUGCCCGGUGCCGGAAGGUUAAUUGAUGGGGUCAGCGCAAGCGAAGCUCCUGAUCGAAGCCCCGGUAAACGGCGGCCGUAACUAUAACGGUCCUAAGGUAGCGAAAUUCCUUGUCGGGUAAGUUCCGACCUGCACGAAUGGCGUAAUGAUGGCCAGGCUGUCUCCACCCGAGACUCAGUGAAAUUGAACUCGCUGUGAAGAUGCAGUGUACCCGCGGCAAGACGGAAAGACCCCGUGAACCUUUACUAUAGCUUGACACUGAACAUUGAGCCUUGAUGUGUAGGAUAGGUGGGAGGCUUUGAAGUGUGGACGCCAGUCUGCAUGGAGCCGACCUUGAAAUACCACCCUUUAAUGUUUGAUGUUCUAACGUGGACCCGUUACCCGGGUUGCGGACAGUGUCUGGUGGGUAGUUUGACUGGGGCGGUCUCCUCCUAAAGAGUAACGGAGGAGCACGAAGGUUGGCUAAUCCUGGUCGGACAUCAGGAGGUUAGUGCAAUGGCAUAAGCCAGCUUGACUGCGAGCGUGACGGCGCGAGCAGGUGCGAAAGCAGGUCAUAGUGAUCCGGUGGUUCUGAAUGGAAGGGCCAUCGCUCAACGGAUAAAAGGUACUCCGGGGAUAACAGGCUGAUACCGCCCAAGAGUUCAUAUCGACGGCGGUGUUUGGCACCUCGAUGUCGGCUCAUCACAUCCUGGGGCUGAAGUAGGUCCCAAGGGUAUGGCUGUUCGCCAUUUAAAGUGGUACGCGAGCUGGGUUUAGAACGUCGUGAGACAGUUCGGUCCCUAUCUGCCGUGGGCGCUGGAGAACUGAGGGGGGCUGCUCCUAGUACGAGAGGACCGGAGUGGACGCAUCACUGGUGUUCGGGUUGUCAUGCCAAUGGCACUGCCCGGUAGCUAAAUGCGGAAGAGAUAAGUGCUGAAAGCAUCUAAGCACGAAACUUGCCCCGAGAUGAGUUCUCCCUGAGACUUAAAGUCUCCUGAAGGAACGUUGAAGACGACGACGUUGAUAGGCCGGGUGUGUAAGCGCAGCGAUGCGUUGAGCUAACCGGUACUAAUGAACCGUGAGGCUUAACC
rnacentral:rRNA from 1 species